rnacentral:rRNA from 1 species
GCUUGCUCCUGGGUGACGAGCGGCGGACGGGUGAGUAAUGUCUGGGAAACUGCCUGAUGGAGGGGGAUAACUACUGGAAACGGUAGCUAAUACCGCAUAAUGUCGCAAGACCAAAGAGGGGGACCUUCGGGCCUCUUGCCAUCAGAUGUGCCCAGAUGGGAUUAGCUAGUAGGUGGGGUAACGGCUCACCUAGGCGACGAUCCCUAGCUGGUCUGAGAGGAUGACCAGCCACACUGGAACUGAGACACGGUCCAGACUCCUACGGGAGGCAGCAGUGGGGAAUAUUGCACAAUGGGCGCAAGCCUGAUGCAGCCAUGCCGCGUGUAUGAAGAAGGCCUUCGGGUUGUAAAGUACUUUCAGCGGGGAGGAAGGCGUUGAGGUUAAUAACCCCAACGAUUGACGUUACCCGCAGAAGAAGCACCGGCUAACUCCGUGCCAGCAGCCGCGGUAAUACGGAGGGUGCAAGCGUUAAUCGGAAUCACUGGGCGUAAAGCGCACGCAGGCGGUCUGUCAAGUCGGAUGUGAAAUCCCCGGGCUCAACCUGGGAACUGCAUUCGAAACUGGCAGGCUAGAGUCUUGUAGAGGGGGGUAGAAUUCCAGGUGUAGCGGUGAAAUGCGUAGAGAUCUGGAGGAAUACCGGUGGCGAAGGCGGCCCCCUGGACAAAGACUGACGCUCAGGUGCGAAAGCGUGGGGAGCAAACAGGAUUAGAUACCCUGGUAGUCNACGCNGUAAACGAUGUCGACUUGGAGGUUGUGCCCUUGAGGCGUGGCUUCCGGAGCUAACGCGUUAAGUCGACCGCCUGGGGAGUACGGCCGCAAGGUUAAAACUCAAAUGAAUUGACGGGGGCCCGCACAAGCGGUGGAGCAUGUGGUUUAAUUCGAUGCAACGCGAAGAACCUUACCUACUCUUGACAUCCAGAGAACUUUCCAGAGAUGGAUUGGUGCCUUCGGGAACUCUGAGACAGGUGCUGCAUGGCUGUCGUCAGCUCGUGUUGUGAAAUGUUGGGUUAAGUCCCGCAACGAGCGCAACCCUUAUCCUUUGUUGCCAGCGGUCCGGCCGGGAACUCAAAGGAGACUGCCAGUGAUAAACUGGAGGAAGGUGGGGAUGACGUCAAGUCAUCAUGGCCCUUACGAGUAGGGCUACACACGUGCUACAAUGGCGCAUACAAAGAGAAGCGACCUCGCGAGAGCAAGCGGACCUCAUAAAGUGCGUCGUAGUCCGGAUUGGAGUCUGCAACUCGACUCCAUGAAGUCGGAAUCGCUAGUAAUCGUAGAUCAGAAUGCUACGGUGAAUACGUUCCCGGGCCUUGUACACACCGCCCGUCACACCAUGGGAGUGGGUUGCAAAAGAAGUAGGUAGCUUAACCUU